rnacentral:lncRNA from 1 species
UUCAAAUAAAGACCCUAAAGAUCCCGGAGAAAUCAAGCGGGACAAAGGAUGAGAGGUCGCGGGAGACCAAAUUAGAGGAAUGCAACAGAAGAAAAUGGAGGAGAAAAGGCCCUUAAAUGGCAAGAAGAAAAAUGAAGGUUCUGGGACUAACCUAGACCGCUCUGAAGGAUGCAGAUGGGCGAGGACAGGGACGACUCGAAAGAUGCCUAGGGCCAAAGAAGAUGCCAAGGAGGACUCUCGGAGAAAAGGCGGAUGCUGAUAGAACUUUCAGGCAGAAAGGUGGGUUUAAAUAGACCCUGGGAUCCAGUGC